GGCGGGGAAGGGGCGCCCGCGUCGGCUUCCGGCCGCUUUCCGCGGCAGCUGCCCGGACCCCGCUCCGGCCGCCGGCGCCCAGGUGUGGGAGGGGGCGCGAGGCGGGCGACGGCGGGGGAGGGGCUCACCUUUCUGGCCGCUGAGCGCCGCGUACCAGGAGAGCGAGAGGAAGGCGCACAGGCAGAAGAGCAGCAGCGUCAGGAAGGCGCCAUUGCGGAGCCUCAUCUCCUCAGAUCUGGACUUCAAUCACAUUAACUUGAGGCCCCUCAGGUCCCUUCGCCAGGUCUGAGAAGUCUAGGCAAAUAAAGGUGAGACAAGCUGGGACCUGGGACCUGGAACCCUUUGCUGCAAUGCUUGCUCCUGGACAAACAUCUCCAGCAACAAAAUACGAAGAAACUACAAGGGACUAAAAAGUACUGUGUGCAUGGGCAGUUGGGGCAAAUUAUGAACAGCAAGAUAGAAAAAGACCAAAAACCUGACUGCCACUUCUGAAGAGCCGGGAGCAAAAACAGGGUACCGCACAUGCCCCCUGUGCACCAUCAAAGGGGUGGGCAGACCACCUAAGCCACCCCUCCUGCCCAACCCCCAGACACACCCCUAACCUCACCCCAUGUAAGGGACCAGCGAGCCCCACCCGGGAGCGAGCAAGGGAACCUGUUACUUGUUUUCACUGCCCCCCUGCUGCAGCAGGGCCCCCAGUAAAGCCUUGCCCAAAUUUCUUGUCUGGCCUCUUAUCAAUUUCCAUUGAUUAAGGAAGGCCAAGAACCCUGACCAGUAACAGAUUUCUGGCACCCAACAUGGGACCUCUCCCUCUUCACGGGAGAGGAUCUGGUCACCUCUGGGACCACUGAAAGCAGCUUCCCCGUGGGUGACAAGAGAUCGCCUGAACCUCACCUCGUCACCACAUUUGAGAGUGGACAUUGGGCAGCUACAGUAUCACUCCUCUCAGCACGUGAGACCAUGCUCCCUCUGGCCGUCAAUGGGUGACAAGCAGAGGUGGGAGAGGCUCGCCUCACACCAUGCAGACCUUGGUCCAGUGGGCUCUCCCUGAUGGGAGAUUUAUGACAGUGAUAGAAUUCAAACCUCAUAUCAUGUAGUGGCUGGAAGUUCUAUUGUCCCAGUAUUCUCACCUUUAUUUUCCUGCUGUCUCUUUUUUUUUAGUCUUUCUCUCCUCCCUUCACCUCUCCCUUGAUCCUUACACCUGCACUCCCAUCCCCUUUAUCCUGAAAAGUUCUUGUUUGUGUCAAGUUUUUGUCGGUGGUACAUGUCGAGUAAAAGGAUCUUUGUCUUAUGUAGUUUUGUCUGUCCAACCGCUCCUGCAAGUCUCUGCUGAAAUUGUGGGCCCUGUGGAGCACUUAAGCCUUGAAAUACAAACACAGCUCACAUUGCCUGAGACUCCAGCCUUGGGUUACUUAGUGGGAUUUUAAAAAGAAUAAAAAAGAGAGGAGCUUGCAUUUCUCUCCUCUGCCUUUGCAAUGUAACUGUUCUGCCUGGGCUCUAGGAACUAUCUGAUCCAUCUGUAGUCCCCCAGACUGAGGAAAAAAAAGAGACCUUUUUAAAUUCAAGUGGGAAAACUAUGAGAUCUCUGGUUCUGUUUCUCUUUAUGUAAACAUUAACUUGUAAAUGAGCUGUAUUUAAUUGGCUUAAAGGAAACUGAGCAUGUAUAUACAUUCUCAGAAAUAUAAAACUCGCCAGAAUACAUUCCACCUUCAUGUGAUCUGGGAAAUAUUCAAUAUUAAAUUAAUAUCUGGUAUUAGAGCUAGUUUAAGGUUGUGGGCUUAAUACAGACCUGUCUUUAGAGUCAUCAACAUUAAGAAUAAUAUAAUAUUUUCAUUGUUCCUAGGGUUACUGGAAGUCAAUAAAUGCAUAUUGUUUCUGUUAUAUAAUCUGUCAACAGGGAAAAUAACCUGAUGUGAUUACAUUUUUAAGUAAAUGUUACUGAGGUAAGAGCUUUUUGGUAAACUCUAUAGGAAUAAUUAUGUUUUGGAAAUAUCCAUCUAAAAUAGUCUCUCCACAUUUUGGUAACUUGAAGCAAUAUUAAGUUAAAUGAUAGGAAUUCAUUGAGUAUCUAGGCCAUUUCAAAUAAGAUGAAAUAUUGGCACAUUAAUUGCUAAACAGAUCUAAAUUUACGACUUUACAACUUUUGUCUUUUUAUGAGGGGGAAACUAAAGAUGUUUGGCUUUAUGAAACACAUGUCUUGUACCACAUACCCCACUGAGCAAAGAAAUAGUGCUUUGGGAAGUUGCAUGUUUCUAGAGGUUAUGGAAUAUUCCAAUCAGGGAAUGCUAAUGUAAAGACAGUUCAUGGUUGCUUGAGGAAAGUAGGAUGUGCGUUUUCAGUAAAAGAAGGUAUGAGGAGUGGAAAUAUAUUUUGUUAAAAGAGGGCUUCCCUGGUGGCGCAGUGGUUGAGAGUCCGCCUGCCGAUGCAGGGGACACGGGUUCGUGCCCCGGUCCGGGAGGAUCCCACAU